CAGCCGCCGCGGUAAUACGAAGGGGGCUAGCGUUGUUCGGAAUUACUGGGCGUAAAGGGCGCGUAGGCGGCCAUUCAAGUUAGAUGUGAAAGCCGGGGGCUCAACCUCGGAAUUGCCUUCAAUACUGGCGAUCUUGAGUAUGGAAGAGGUAUGUGGAACUCCGAGUGUAGAGGUGAAAUUCGUAGAUAUUCGGAAGAACACCAGUGGCGAAGGCGACAUACUGGUCCAUUACUGACGCUGAUGCACGAAAGCGUGGGGAGCAAACAGGAUUAGAUACCCCCGUAGUCCCUGUCUCUUAUAA
rnacentral:rRNA from 1 species